CGGAGAAAAGGUAGGAGCCGAUGAAGGAGAACAUCAGCACCGAGACAGGCAGAGCGCAGUCAGACACCACCUCUCUGAUUCUGGGGUUCAGAUACGGGCUGCAGGAAAACAAAGGCACAGAACUCAACCAGCCUCAGUACAGGGGUAUUUUCAGGUCCAGCAGGUGAGCCUACCUCCUCUUAAUGAGAUAAAGGGUGUAACCCAGCCACAACGUGCCCAACAUGAGCAGCAAACACAGGACGGGACGGUCUCUGGUGCAUGACACCAGCUGCUCGGGCAGGAGGAGCAACCCCUGACCUCCGGCUGGUCCUAGUGAGCCUGCAGUCUGGUUUCCAGGCGUCUGCAUGAUGAUGUGAAGCGCCGACGAGGCGUUUGUGGUCACCAGCGUGGGCCCGUGGUAGAAGUGCUGGAAAACUGAGAGGAAACACGCAGUCUAUCGCAUGUUACACUCCUCGUUCCAGCAUCUGCCAUGGAUUCCAGCAGCUUAUCGGUGUAAUUCCCCCUUUACAUUAUUAUUCUCAGCAUGUUUAUUCAAGCAUAUUGAAGCAUUUUAGCCAUGAGAUUGAAGCGUUGCUCAGUUUUACUGUAGUUUAGCACACUCAUGACGGCCCGAGGCAUAUAAAUGAAGGAGGGAACACUCCAGAGAGUCCACCACAUGCCCAUUUACUCCCUAUUCUCACUCACAAAGCCCUUGUGAGAACGAUAUGAACAGCAGCAAC